AGAGUUUGAUCCUGGCUCAGAACGAACGCUGGCGGCAGGCUUAACACAUGCAAGUCGAACGGGCGUCGCAAGACGUCAGUGGCAGACGGGUGAGUAACGCGUGGGAACAUACCCUCUGGUUCGGAAUAACUCAGGGAAACUUGAGCUAAUACCGGAUACGCCCCCGGGCUUGACCCGGGGGGAAAGAUUGAUUGCCGGAGGAUUGGCCCGCGUCCGAUUAGCUUGUUGGCGGGGUAACGGCCCACCAAGGCGACGAUCGGUAGCUGGUCUGGGAGGAUGAUCAGCCACAUUGGGACUGAGACACGGCCCAAACUCCUACGGGAGGCAGCAGUGGGGAAUAUUGGACAAUGGGCGCAAGCCUGAUCCAGCCAUGCCGCGUGAGUGAUGACGGCCUUAGGGUUGUAAAGCUCUUUCGCUCGGGACGAUAAUGACGGUACCGAGAGAAGAAGCCCCGGCUAACUUCGUGCCAGCAGCCGCGGUAAUACGAAGGGGGCUAGCGUUGUUCGGAAUUACUGGGCGUAAAGCGCGUGUAGGCGGGUCUUUAAGUCAGGGGUGAAAUGCCAAGGCUCAACCUUGGAACUGCCUUUGAUACUGGAGACCUUGAGUCCGGGAGAGGUGAGUGGAACUGCGAGUGUAGAGGUGAAAUUCGUAGAUAUUCGCAAGAACACCAGUGGCGAAGGCGGCUCACUGGCCCGGAACUGACGCUGAGACGCGAAAGCGUGGGGAGCAAACAGGAUUAGAUACCCUAGUAGUCC
rnacentral:rRNA from 1 species